GGAUUGGAGGAACACCUUCUACAUAGUCUCUAACCCUGACAAGGUCUAGAACAGAAAUUACAAUAGGUGGAACAGGGAUCCACCUUACCUAACAGGCGGAUCGGACCUGCCGCCUGUUCCUCAGUCAAGCAAAGGAAGAGAUCCUGGAUAGAGGGCUCUUCAAAGUGUACAUAUAAGAGAACCCUGAGACUGGGGUGAGGGAGUUCGUCCCUCAAAAUUACAUCCCAAAGUAUAAAUGGUUAUACGAUGGGAAGUACCUGACCGUCUGCGGCCUUAGCGAGGAGAUGCCGAGAGGUAGAGGAUCGCCUAUUUAGCGUGUCUUACUAGACUUGCUUAAUUUUUGUGUCUAACCAUCUGAUUAAUCUUUUGCAGAUAAAGCCAUGGAAAAGAUCUCAGCCUCCAAAAAGAUAGCCGCCCAACUCCGCGCAGCCGUUCUUGGCAAGCGGUCUACUGAGGAGUUGCCUGCCAAAUAGGCGCCUAGGAGCGACACUGUAAGACCCUCCUCCUCAACUCAACUGGACCCCAAACGUCAAAAACAGACGGCUGAGAAGCGCUGACUCCUGGCAGUGCCAGGAGACAAACGGCUGGGAGGCAAGGCAGGACUCCCCAAAGUGGGGCGAGGGCUCUAGCCACCCCUGGGAGCAGCCAGCCCCCAAGGGAAAAGGAGGCGGCCACAGGUAUAACUUGCUCAAAUUUUCAAAGUUUGUUCAAACUACCGACUUCUUCUGAUUUCAGGUGGCUGGCUUUCUGUUUUUAUGCCACGCACUAAUCAGUUUCCUUUGCAGACGCCCCUCAAGAGCCAGAACUGGUCCAGAUGGCCAAGGCCAUGCUGAAGGCUAUCCUUGCUUUGGAUAGGGACUCUAUUAAGGGAGUCGGCACCCUUAACCUUGAAGCCAUCCUGACCCUCCUCGCCGAGUCUAUGCUGCGAGUAUAUGGUCUCCGCAAGCCCAUCACCGAGAAGAACAAAAAGGUAAAAGCUGCGAAGGCCAUGACCGCCUCUGAUUCUGAUAAAGCUAUGUUCCAAAUAGCUCAAAACGAGAUUCUGACAAUGACAUACUGUAUUACCAGGCAAACACCACUUUGCAGGUGAAGAAUGAUUUAGAGGCGGCCAGGAAGAAGAUCUUGGAGCUGGAGAAGUCCGUAAAGGACCUCAAGGCUGAGCUCGGUCCUCUAAAGGAGGCGGACAAAGAGGCCGAGGGACUCCGCAACCGGGUGAACAUGCUCAAGGGCCGCCUGCUGAAUCAAGAGGCUGACCUCACCCAGAAACUUAACCAAAAAGCUGAUGAAGAGAAGAUGGCCAUAGUUCAGGACAUGAUGGAGGACACAAAUGCCAUCAUGAAGAUGACUUGGGCGGCCCUUUUCCCUAAUACCAGCUACGAAAAGUGGGGGAGCUAGUUUUCCAUCUGUAUUGAUCAAUUCAACAAGAAGAUCAUGGGGAAGACAAACGGUGAUGAGGAGGCGAAGGGUGAUGAGGAGGCGUCCGACUCCACUUCCAGGGAGUCGGACCAGGAGGAGGAGGAGAAGCAGGAGGCGGACGAUGAUGAGGAGCCGCUGCAGGAGGAGGCGAAUGCCGAUACAGAUCAGGCGCCGGUUGAUGAUCCAAAUCAAGCGGCUGCCAACACUGAAGGUCCUCCUCCAGCUGCUUAAUUUCAAUUUUUAUGUCAACUUUCUUCGGCCUGCGUGCCGUUGGUUUUGUAUCUUUACCCAACUAGGGGGUCGAGGUUUAUAUACAAUUUUUAACUCUAACAAUUCCAGUCGGUCAUCUAGCCGAAUGUUUAUAUUAAUCAUUUGGCUUUUUAUGCCGUUUUUCUUCAAAUUUUGAAGUGUUUGAAUUUUUUUGCUAUUCAUGAAUUUUGCUAAGUGUAUGUAGCUUGCUUUUUGUUUUCAUGAAUGCAUUAUAGACUUACUGUUCUUGUCCCUAGGCGACUGGGCGCCUGGUUUUCAAGGGUGAGUUGAUUGACUUUGAAUUUUUGAUACUCUAUUAAUAUUACUAAUUCUAGGUCAAUCAAUCACUAUGGUGAUUGCCCCAAACAAGGCGGUCAGUCGGCCAUUGCACAGGUGAACACCUAGCAUUUCUCGGCUCUCGGCCUCAAUAAUAUUCUUAACGAACUUUGGCUUUGUACUUAGCGCAUUCCUAUCUGAUUACAAGUAGUCCCGUCUAUUUAGUGCUUGUAUAGAACAUGCGCUAAU